AUGAAAAGGUUUUCAAUAAUUGUAUUUUUGAAGGUUGAUAAUGAAGUUGGCGAGAAAGUUAACGGUGAACCUAUUGCACCAGGAACUGUUGCUUCCACUGAUGUUGUAGCUACUAUUAUAGUUUCAAACUGUGGUAAUUCCAGAGUGGUUUUGUGCUAUGUUAAGGAACCAAUGCCUUUAUCUGUGGAUCAUAAACCAAAUCUAGAUGAUGAAUAUGCAAGGAUCAAGGUAAGCCAACACAUACAUCAUCAUCCAUUCAAAUUAAAAAGUACGAUAAAGAAGAACAAGUCAGGACUAAUUUGA